AUUGAACGCUGGCGGCAGGCCUAACACAUGCAAGUCGAGCGAGCGGCGGACGGGUGAGUAAUGUCUGGGGAACUGCCCGAUAGAGGGGGAUAACUACUGGAAACGGUAGCUAAUACCGCAUACCAUCAGAUGUGCCCAGAUGGGAUUAGCUAGUAGGUGGGGUAACGGCUCACCAAGGCGACGAUCCCUAGCUGGUCUGGGAGGAUGACCAGCCACACUGGAACUGAGACACGGUCCAGACGCCUACGGGAGGCAGCAGUGGGGAAUAUUGCACAAUGGGCGCAAGCCUGAUGCAGCCAUGCCGCGUGUGUGAAGAAGGCCCUAGGGUUGUAAAGCACUUUCAGCGGGGAGGCGUUACCGUCAGAAGAAGCACCGGCUAACUCCGUGCCAGCAGCCGCGGUAAUUC
rnacentral:rRNA from 1 species